AAUAUGCUGGUAAACUCACUUUUUUCAGGUAUCUCAGACCUCAGGGAGAAAGAAAGGAUUCCAAGGGCAUAGCCAGCAUUCCUUACCAGGAAGGUGAAGAAAGUGUGGCUGGAAACAACCCAGAUGUCCGAUAAUAGCCUGGAUGAAGAAAUGUGGUAUAUUCAUUAAGAUGGAAUACUAAAUAGCAGUUAAAAAUGAAGGAAUUCAGCUCAGUGCAUCGACAUGGAUGACUCUUACAAAUAUACAAUGUUCAGCAAAAAAGCAAGACACACGCAAAAAAUACAUGGCAAGCUUCCAUUUAUAUGAAUUUCAAAAAUGGGUAAGAUUAAAUUACAUUGUUUAGGGAUACAAAAUAGUGAGCUAUAAAGAAAAUCAAGGAAAUAAGCAUAAGUCAGGCUAGUUGUUCCCUCUGGGUGGAGGGGGGCGGUUUAGGAACAGAGAAAGUUAAGGGACUUUUGGGGUUCUGACAAUGUUUUAUUCUUGAUCUGGACAAUGGUCAUAAAGGUGUCUGUUUUAUAACAGUUCAUAAAGUGUAAAUUUAUGUCUCAUGCACUUUUCUGUAUGUGUGGCAUAGUUCACAAAAAAUUCUUUUAAAAAGUCAUGCUGUUGUUGUAGAUUAAGGACCAUAUUUAGAGUAGGAAGGUCCUAUACUACGCUGCUUAAUUUUCUCCCCAUUUCUAUACUUAUUUCUUUGCUGACUCCCUCUUCCUGUCUGAUCUUGGGUGUGCCAGUUUCACUAGUCAUUUGUCACUUCAUCCUUCCUCUACCACAUCUCUUCACUUUCUCCAACCUCAAUUCCCCAAUCCCAGAAUACCCUGGAAGCUUGAAAAAUAAAAUAUAGACUCAAGGGCUCAA